CCUACGGGGGGCUGCAGUGGGGAAUAUUGGACAAUGGGCGCAAGCCUGAUCCAGCCAUGCCGCGUGAGUGAUGAAGGCCCUAGGGUUGUAAAGCUCUUUUGUGCGGGAAGAUAAUGACGGUACCGCAAGAAUAAGCCCCGGCUAACUUCGUGCCAGCAGCCGCGGUAAUACGAAGGGGGCUAGCGUUGCUCGGAAUCACUGGGCGUAAAGGGUGCGUAGGCGGGUCUUUAAGUCAGAGGUGAAAGCCUGGAGCUCAACUCCAGAACUGCCUUUGAUACUGAGGAUCUUGAGUUCGGGAGAGGUGAGUGGAACUGCGAGUGUAGAGGUGAAAUUCGUAGAUAUUCGCAAGAACACCAGUGGCGAAGGCGGCUCACUGGCCCGAUACUGACGCUGAGGCACGAAAGCGUGGGGAGCAAACAGGAUUAGAUACCCUAGUAGUC
rnacentral:rRNA from 1 species